rnacentral:RNase_P_RNA from 1 species
GGUCGACUGGACGGUCGCGUGGCGGGAGACCGCACCGAGGAACGUCCGGGCUCCUCAGGGCAGGACGGUGGGUAACGCCCACCCGGAGUGAUCCGCGAGAAAGUGCCACAGAGAGCAGACCGCCCCGCAAGGGGUAAGGGUGAAAGGGUGGUGUAAGAGACCACCGGGGGCCAUGGUGACAUGGCCCGCCAGGUAAACCUCGUCCGGAGCAAGGUCAGACAGAGGAUGAUGACGCGGCCCGCCGAGUCCUCGGGUAGACCGCUAGAGUGCCACGGCAACGUGUCGCCGAGAGAGAUGGCCGUCGAAGGGGCGAAGAACCCCGGAACAGAACCCGGCGUACAGGUCGGCCCA